rnacentral:rRNA from 1 species
UACGUAGGGUGCAAGCGUUGUCCGGAAUUAUUGGGCGUAAAGAGCUCGUAGGCGGUUUGUUGCGUCGGCUGUGAAAUCCCGAGGCUCAACCUCGGGUCUGCAGUCGAUACGAGCAAACUAGAGUGUUGCAGGGGAGACUGGAAUUCCUGGUGUAGCGGUGAAAUGCGCAGAUAUCGGGAGGAACACCAGUGGCGAAGGCGGUUACCUGGAGCUUUGCUGACGCUGAUGCGCGAAAGUGUGGGGAGCGAUCCGG